rnacentral:rRNA from 1 species
CCUACGGGAGGCAGCAGUGAGGAAUAUUGGUCAAUGGACGCAAGUCUGAACCAGCUAUGCCGCGUGCAGGAAGACGGCUCUAUGAGUUGUAAACUGCUUUUGUACGAGGGUAAACGCAGAUACGCGUAUCUGUCUGCAAGUAUCGUACGAAUAAGGAUCGGCUAACUCCGUGCCAGCAGCCGCGGUAAUACGGAGGAUUCAAGCGUUAUCCGGAUUUAUUGGGUUGAAAGGGUGCGUAGGCGGUCGGAUAAGUUAGAUGUGAAAUCCCGAGGCUCAACCUCGGAAUUGACUCUGAUACUGUUCGGCUAGAGAGUAGUUGCGGUAGGCGGAAUGUAUGGUGUAGCGGUGAAAUGCUUAGAGAUCAUACAGAACACCGAGUGCGAAGGCAGCUUACCAAGCUACUUCUGACGUUGAGGCACGAAAGCGUGGGGAGCAAACAGGAUUAGAUACCCUAGUAGUC